ensembl:lncRNA
CACACACACACACACACACGCACACGUGUGAUUGCACACGCACACAGACACUUUUGACCGUGUUGUGGCCUGGAGGGAGUUCAUUCUGCCCUCCUUUCUCCUCCACCGCCUUCGCUCCGUGUCACCAUGCAGUGAAAGAGAGGGAGAGAAAAAAAGGGAGGGCGAGAAAAUGAGAGCCGAGAGAGAGAGAGGAUGAGGGAGAGGGAGAGCAAGAGAGGGAGAGUGGCAGCAGUAGCGGAGGAAGCGGAGCCGUCUCUCUGAUCAUCUUUCUUGGGUAGAGGGAUAAAAAAGACCCAGGAAUCAGUCGCCUCUCUCUGCUGCAGGAUUUACUCAGCCUGUGUUUCAUCCUCCCCUCACGCCUUCUUUGCUGUGGACCGUUUAGCUUUUAAAUCUUUCUCCGGCUGUCCCGUCUCACUGGCUGUGUGUUUUUGUGUGCGUGUGUGCACGUAAGAAAGAGCCGAGUCUGUUUCCUGCCGCUGCUUGGAAACGGACAGCGGGUGUGUGACCCUUUGCCCGGGGGGUCACGGGCGAGAGCGAGGGGGUCGACAGAGGAGGCGUGUUGAGGGGGUCGACCCUUGCACUUCUCUGUCUGAGUGUAUCUGUGUGACUGUCCGCGUGUUUGUGUAUGCGUGUGUCCUAGCCGGCUGGGCGGUCCCAGCCUCACGCUUGGUUAGCGAGGACUAAAGAGCGAGGAUGACAGGCUGAGUCCCAGCACAGCCUCCCCCUCACACAGAGCCUCGUUUCUGGGUGGCUGCGAGGGCAAAGCCCCCUCUCCCGCUCAGGACGACUGCCCGCGCGUUUAAAACAAGUUACUCUCUCUUCAUGACACUUAAACAAUAACCAUGUUUGGACUUAAAGCCCCACUUUACUACUUGCCAGGUAAGAUAACAUUUUCCUAUUCUUUCUUGCAUGUGUUGUUUAAAUGCACAUUGUUGUAAACAGUGUGCGUGUCCUUCUUUAUGUUUGCGUGCUCUGAACAAAAAAUGCACGAGGUUCGCUCCGGAGUGCAUCCGAGGAGACGCUCGUCUUUGUGUUGCUGGUCCUGAUGCUGGAACCUGACAUCCGAGGAUGCUAAUGCUGUGUGACAGCCGCUCUUACUCCGUUUCGCUAAGCUCUCCCAGCGUGGAAGUGAGCAGGUAGAGAGGACAACCACACAGCGGAGAAGCACAUCUUUGUCACGCGCGUUGGAUCCGUCUUUUUGUCAACAUGCGGAGCGGUGUCUUUGUGUCUGUGCCGGCGACUGUGCGCACAUCACACGUGCGCGUUUGUGGUUUUGCGUGUGCGUCCGUGCGUGUGUGUGUGUGUGUGUGUGUGAGUGAGAGGGAGAGUGAGUGCUGAGGCGGCGUGAGGUUGCGGCCGGUCGGCACUUAAGUGCGUCUUGCGGCUCACUGGGCACUGAUUGUGGAGAGGACAGCCAAGAGAGGGCAGGGGGAGAGAAUGAGCGACGGGGGCAGAGAGGGGGAGAAUGAGAGCCUUGUUACUGGGCUCAUUCUUCCGUAUUUCUUUUGUUUGAGUGUGUGUGUGUGUGUGUCUCUGAAUUCCCAUGGAAUUGUGUCCUUAAAUGUAUUUAUGUUUUCUCUCGUCUGUUUAACAUGCACGCUGUGCACAUUUGUUAAAUCGACCAAUAAAUACACACUACGCUGGGCACAAUGUGUGCAGUGUCGGCUGUUUAACCUACGUUGUUGUUAAUAAACACUGUUUAAUUGUGAAAUCGAAAUCUGCACAAAGGUGCUCUUCUGAUUAAUGAGCGUUCUCGUCAUUGUGUGUCCGUGUCUCCAUACAGCGGAAGUGGGUACACUUCACUGACACUUAGCAGAUAUAAAUUAUGGAUGAGCUUUAGUCAGCAGGCUGUGUGUAGUGAGGCCAUAACCAACGCUGCUUUAGUUUUGACCCUCGUGUUUCAUUCUACAACCUCUUGGCCUGUUUUAAUAGACAUCUUCACUUGCCUGUUUAAACCCAAACAUUAUCCGUCCUCCUCCACCAUUAUUUGAAAUGAGUUAUGGAUUUUUUUUUUUCUCCGUUUUCUGCCCUUUGCCUAGCUUUUGCUCCAUAAAUACAGCAUAGAGUACUUUGCAUUUCUGCUCUUCAAUUGAGAUUUUUUGAAGAAUUAGGAUUUUACUACCUACACUUAAUUUCUAAAUGAAACGAUUAGAAUAUGUGUGCUGUUUUUGUACAUGCUUCGCUGUGCAUCUAUGCUCUUUUUUUCAGUUUUACUGCACAUUGUCAUGCUGCAGGCAUCAGAGAAAUACAAACAUCCACAAUUUAGCAGUUGCAAAUUGGUAGUAGACAGUGGCCUGCUUUCAAAGCAUGGAUUGACAGUGUCAGUGAUGAUUGGAUCUGACAUGGUGAGUGAGGCCGACACAAUAAGGGAAAUUAUAGAGGAAAAAGGAAGGUUGAGGAGAAUCUACAGAGGAAAGGGAGUCAGUUGCUGACGUUCACCUCCUCUAUAUCCUGACCUUCGCCCCCUGUCUCCUCGGGGCUUUCUCCCUCUGAUUCCAUAACUACCCUCUACCACCCAUCCGUCUCCUCCGUCCCCCUCCUCUCAUCCUUGUCAUCUUCUUCCUCUUCCCUCACACCCUACGUGUUGCCCCUUUUGAACCCUAAACCCCCCCCAGACGAACCCUGGUAACAGCGGGAGCCCCGCGCGAGUUGGACACACAUAGAGAGCGACUGGGUUGUGACGGUGGCCAAAGCUGGUGAGGCUUGUGUGUGUGUGUGUGUGUGUGUGUGUGUGUGUGUGUGUGUGUGUGUGUGUGCGUGUGCGUGUGCGUGCGUUCAGCGCUGUGGGUUGCUUCUUCUCUUCCCCCCUCUUUCAUUCAGGCAGAUAAAGAGCCCCCCCGCCUGGCUUCCCGUCCUAAUCGACGUUGCCUUGGCGACCGUGUCAGACACAUGCUAGCUGUGAUUAUUUGACAACAAAAAAAGGUUGGGUUAAAUAAAGACGAAUUGCUCGGGAGGGUUUGUGAGUGGUAGCAAGAGACAGAGGGGCAAGAGAUGCGUUGAGAUGGAACAGCGGCGAGGGGGGUCGCGGUAGACGUGGAAAGGAGGAUACUUGAACUUGGGUGGCGUUUACAUGACAGCGUAGGGGGAGCAGAAAGUAACCACUUCAGGAUGGAGCAUGUCAAUCCUUCUCUAUAUGCCUUUUCACUUGUGCACUACUUCUUGUAUUAUGUCUGCCAGGCAUUAACCUGUAGGUGGUCAUUCACCCAGUUGUGUGUGUGUGUUUGUUUGGCCAUAGUCCCGUAGCACUGAACCGAUCUGCUUUGUUCUCCAAGCUGAUUUCAAACAGAUGAAACCUUGUUGAAAUCGGUUGUACUGUGUGUUUAAUUUGUUUGUGACGCCUGUUUGCACUUGUCUGCAUACCAUCCUUGUAUAAUUGUGUGGGUUUUUACUUGUAUGUUACCACUCGGAUCUACGGGAUCUGCUGUUCAUGGCCUCGGGGUAAAGCAGUGAGAAAGGGGAAUGAGAGGAGAAAAAGUUGGAUGGACAGACGAGCUGAUGAUGGCAGAGAUUAGAAAAGCAAAACAGGCUCAAACAAAAAUAUUUAAUUGAUGCCAAAACUGCAAAACACAGGCGAGCGGGAAAAGGGGAAGUUAGGUUAAAGAACAACAAGGGCUGUCUUGUCAUGACAGAACUCGGACUAGGUUUUGGUGAUAACUCAGACAACCGAUUUGUGAUCCAGUCAACUAGUCGGGACUGCCGACUGGACAGGUUGAGAUAAAGGGUUUACGAGCUUUACAUUAUACAGAGAAAGCGGCAAAAAUAGCAUGUGAAGGAUAUCCAGGACCAAACCAGUCUGAUUGCAGCGGUCUUCUCUCUGGCUCUCGCUGAGAAUCAUUUCCAAGGGAACAGAGUGACAAAAAGCCUUUCUUCUCUUACACACACACACACACACACACACACACUAGUGUAAUCAAUAUGUGUUGGAGCAAUGCCGGGUGUGGAGCCCUCGAUCAAAGUGUGGACUAAUCACUCGUGAUUACAUAUCACUCUGGUUCAGCACCGGAGAAGUGUCGUCGCGUGUGUUAGUUAGAGAAUGUUUUCAUUUUAAGAAAUUUGCACAUUUUCCAUUUGCUUCUGCGUGUGCGGCAGAGUAUCACACCCUGGUCACCUUAGGGGAGAAGUCCGCUACAGUGUGUGUGCAGUGAGUGUAAUCGUUAUAUCCAAUUAAGUACAAUAUCUGUCCUUCUCCUUCCGUCUCUCCUUUCCGAGCAGAGGCCCUCUCCUCCCUAAAUCAAUUCCUUUAAAUCUCUCGGCUGCAUCCACUCCUCUCUCUUCGUGCUAUUGUCUUCUCAUUUGUCACCCGUCUCUCUCAUUCUCUCUCCUCCUCCCUCUGUGCUUUCAUCCCCCCGGUUCACUCCAUCAUUGUAUCCAUUCAUUUGUUACAGCCCCUCUGCCCUUCGUCCCUUCCAUCUUUCCACUCCUGCCGCCGCGCGUGCACUGACAGUCUUUAGAUGGCCGUGGCGGCAGUAAAGCUCAGCCACGAUGAUGGACCGCGAGCUUCCUCGCCCCUUUCCCCCUCUCUCUCCCUCGCUCUGCCCUUGCUAUAAAAGCUCUGACCCGUUCUCUGUGUGGCAUCUGUUCCACGCCGGUCCGCAGGUGGCACUGCACCGGUCAUGGCCGUAAAGGUUGGCAGCGGCUCAUUUCACCGGCUGCCCCGUUAGCCUCCUUGUAAACCCGGGGCAGUUAAACCCUGACCCUGCACACCUGUGGCCUCGGGCUCCUCCCUGGAUACGAGCCAGUAGCAAAAGUAGUAACACACACACACACACACACACACAAACGUUCAAUAUGAAGAUUCUUUUUUGAAUACAUGUCCGAAAUAGGCAACAAAUCAUUAGUCAGAGCCUCAUAGCUUCAUGCUUAACAUUCUCCCCUCCCUCUAAUAUUUAUGCUAAGUUGAGCUCGACAUGUCCGGACUCCGGCAUUGUUCUUAGAGGAAUAAUUCAGUUUGGAAUUGGCGUGUUUCUACGUUCAGGCUGAGAGUAGAAUGAGAAGAUCGAUACCACUCUCAUUGAAGAGAGUGCUGGCGCUCUUUUAAUCUAACUCCCAGAAUCCCAAAAUUUCGACGCAUUCGCUUAAGUCAAAUUUUCCAGCUUAUUACAUCCAUCAGGACAUUUGGUUCACACGCCGACACGUUCACGGCCGCACACACACGCGCCUGCACACGCACACCUGCGCGCACAAAAGAGAAAGCAGAAACGAGUAGCUAGUCUAACAGACGUUCUGUGAGCUAACAGGUGCAAGGGCUAAUGGGAGCUUUGCUGGUAUCACAGCGGCAUGCAGCUCUGAUUUAUGGACUGCAGUCAGCCCUCUUCCUCCCUUUCAGUUCCCUCCGGUAGUCUCGUCAGCUUGUGCAUUGUUCUGUAUGUGGGUUUGUUUGUUCGGCUGCUCUGUGGCUGUGGACAAUGCACUCGCAUUAAGGCUGCGGCGGGAGGAGAAGCGGUUUCUUCACAGAUGUGUGCGGGGAGAUCAGUGCUUGUCAAACACUUGGCUAUCGUGACGGACACUCGCCUCUGCUCUUUGCCGCUAAAGUCGGUGUAAACUUACACGGAUCCCAGUUCAGAAUGCACCGGCAGGCGGUGAGUAUAUGGGCUCACAUGCGUUUUGCGAGGCUAAACGUGCAUUUGUGAAUGCGUGUAAGUUGUCGCCUUUAACAUUCAAGCUGGAGAAACAGUCUAACUAAUUAUUCUUAUCUUCUUCUGCCUCCCCUAAUCAAAUUAGGCUACAACCCUAAACCCUGUCUCUAUCGGAUGGCUUUGAGUUCACUCACUCACACACACAUGCACCACGGAUGCACAUCACCACACAUUGACACAAGUGCCGUGUCAGUAUUUUAUUUCACUUAUGUGCACUCAGAUGAGGAGCGUCAGUAGGAACCGGUGGUGAACGCUUUGUAUGAUGAGUGUGGACAGCAUGGCGGUAAUGUGGCACUCUUUGAGUGGUUUGUUUCAUUAAUUUGUGAUAAUAUUAUGCAUGGUAAAAAUGCUCAGAGGAAGCAGCCAUUUGCAUAAUUGAAUAUAAAGAUGUAUGGAAAGGUAUGACGAGAGAGGGAGAAGGAAUGUGAGUCACGUGACGAGUUUAUAUGAUCCAUUAAAACCAUGUUGGACCCAUCUCUGUAUGUAUUGUAUUUAUUCAUUAGUACACCUUAAUGAAGUGGAAGAGCAUAUGGUGCAGGGACAUCUGUAUGACCUUUAUACAUAACUAGGGCAUUUCACAGAGACACAUAUGUUAUCCACACAUUCAUUUUGCCUAAUUUUUCUUCACACAAUCACAUCCCUCUUGAAUUAAUAAGUAAAACAUUUUGGAGCCUCUGCACAACUUAAACCCCAAAGCGUAACAUCCAGAGAAGUAGUCAUGUGGAGAUUGCAAGUUUUCUUUGCUGGAACUCUGUAGACUGUGUCUUUAUGUGUAUUAUAGUACAUUUAGCAGUGACGUGAUCUGCCUUUUAAGCUGGCAGCUUUCAUUACCUUUAGCUGACUCUUUUAUCCAAAGCGAAUUACAUUGCAUUUUUUUAACCCGUGGUUUUUACAUCUUGCCCGGGGAGCAAUUAGGGGUUAGGUGUCUUGCUCAGGGACACUUCAACAUGGGAGCAGCCGAGGUUUGAACCGUGCAAUUUGUACAAUCCCCUGUGCUUCUCUUAGUUCAAUUUGUAACGCCUCUGUCAUGCAUAAACAAGCAUCUAUUUAGCUAUUAAAUGGGUACCAUCAACCAGCUUUUUGCCUGCUAGGUCCCUCUCUCCUCCCAUGGCCCGACUCCAGGUGCAGUAUUUAUAGUCACAACUGUAAAUACCUGCGUCACCAGGGGGCUUCUCUAUACUCAUAUUUAGUGACGGAGGGGUUAGAAAUAGGCCUGCUUGAGGUGAAAUUGGUCAGUUGGGGUUAGCAGGUCCUUGGUUGUCAGUUUUCUUCCUCACCAGGAAUGGAUGACCAAAGACGUCAUCACAUUCAGUGAUGUAAUGAAUGAAUAGCCCCUGUCUUCUACUUUAUUAGCAGAGAUAGUGUGUGUGUGUGCGUGUGUGUGUGCGUGCGUGCGUGCGUG